CCUACGGGGGGCAGCAGUUAGGAAUAUUGGACAAUGGGGGAAACCCUGAUCCAGCCAUGCCGCGUGUGUGACGAAGGCCUUAGGGUUGUAAAGCACUUUCGGCUGUGAAGAUAAUGACAGUAGCAGAAGAAGAAGCUCCGGCUAAAUUCGUGCCAGCAGCCGCGGUAAUACGAAUGGAGCGAGCGUUGUUCGGAAUCACUGGGCGUAAAGCGUACGCAGGCGGUCUUGAAAGUCAGGAGUGAAAUCCCAGGGCUCAACCCUGGAAUUGCUUUUGA
rnacentral:rRNA from 1 species